AGUUGAUUUUUUUGAAAUCUCAGUUAAUUUUGAAUUUAAAUUGUUAUUUUUUGGUAAAGAUGUACGUGCGCGCGCAGUUUGAUAAGUUCACCGAAUAAAAUGUUCAAUUUUGUUUUAAAAAUUCCCCCAAUUUUGCACUUUCCCAAAGAAUUUUCAUAAAAAUUUUAAUUUUCCAAACACAUUUUUGUUUUAUUUUCAUUUUCUUAAUUUGGUGUUUUUUGUUUUUGUGAUUUUGUGUGUGUUGUUAAAGGCGAACUUUCGGCAUAACGGCCGACGCGCACGACAAAGUAAUUGUUUUGCUUGCGUUUUCAAUGAGAAACUAAACUAUUGUAAAAUGCCGUGCUGCGUUCUGACUGCCACUGCCAGCAGGCAUUCUAGCACGCGGACAGACAGAUAUGCAGUCAUGCAAUGUAGGGUUGUUGGAUGAGCGCGAGAGAAGUAGGAAGGACGCAAGGCAGCCACUAGGAGAGUCUGCAACUGCACGAGACAGGAUGCAUGGUAGCGGUGUGAGAGCGCUGACGAAAGUGGGAGCGAGUGUACGGUGAGCGGAAGGAAGCCUGUGUAAAGCCGAAGCGUCAAAAGAAAAAUAAAAUUUGCAGUCAACGAAAAGAAAUCCGUAUGAAAAUUGGUAGAAACCAAAGGCGAUACAGCCGAAUAACAAAGUGCGCCCAUGCAAUGCCAAAGCGAUACUAUGGGCGGCAAGUGAUAGCAGGAAUCGGUGAAACACAUACACAUACAUACAACACAUAGAAGGAGACAACCAAGAAAACUAGUUGGGCAUUGAGGAAUGCAAUGCCCGAAAGGCCAACCGACCAAUCGACCGACUGACUGCCACCACAAUCUCGGUUGUUGACCAGACAAAUGGAAGUGAAAUCAAAGGAAAAACAAAACUGAAAUAACUAACUUAGCAAUGCAGCGGGAAAUAUGUAGAUACAU